AUACGUAUUGGAACACCGAACAGUUGUCGUUGGGUGGCAAAUUAGCAAUAUUAAGAUUUGCGAUAAGAACCAAACUAGGGAAGGCUAAUUGGUCAUUAUAGUUUUAUAUAAGGCAAAAUCAGUUUCCACUUCCUUUUCAGGUAUGGAGGGGAUAGUCGUGCAGAAUGUGUGCCGAAAUUUAUACUAAUCCGCCUAUCUUCUGUUUAGCCAAGAGACCACUUCUGCUGUAUUUUCUCCAAGGCCGAAGCUAAUAUAACGAUGAUCAAAGAAGAUGUGGUCAUCCCCACACUCCCCAGUCACAUAUCCUUCCGCUGAUAUUCUCCGGCAUAUACAUAACCUAUAGCACCUCCUGCCUUGUCCUGGUAAUAAAGGUGGGUUUACUUGCUUUGCGUCUUUAACUAAGAUUUUUGUCUUUAAAAACAAGACGUAAAGUUAAGGAUCUACCAACCUAAAAAAAUCCAAGAAAAAUUAUCUUCCAC